rnacentral:rRNA from 1 species
UCGGCCCCUAAGGCGAGGCAGAAAUGCGUAGUCGAUGGGAAGCAUGUUAAUAUUCCUGCACCGACGUGUAAUGCGAUGGGGGGACGGAUCGUGGAAAGUGGUCCAGGUGUUGGAUAUCCUGGUCCCUGCAUCAUAGAGGACAGUUAGGCAAAUCCGGCUGUCAUAUACUCAAGGGUGUGGGGGGAAGUAGCUACGGCUACGAACCCAUUGGAAGUGGUCCCAAGAAAAGCCUCUAAGCUUCAGUUACACGUUGACCGUACCGCAAACCGACACAGGUGGGCGAGAUGAGUAUUCUAAGGCGCUUGAGAGAACUCGGGAGAAGGAACUCGGCAAAUUGACACCGUAACUUCGGAAGAAGGUGUGCCUUUAGUAGGUGAAGUCCCUCGCGGAUGGAGCCCAAUGAGGUUGCAAAAAAUCGGUGGCUGCGACUGUUUAUUAAAAACACAGCACUCUGCAAACACGAAAGUGGACGUAUAGGGUGUGACGCCUGCCCGGUGCUGGAAGAUUAAAUGAUGGGGUGCAAGCUCUUGAUUGAAGUCCCAGUAAACGGCGGCCGUAACUAUAACGGUCCUAAGGUAGCGAAAUUCCUUGUCGGGUAAGUUCCGACCCGCACGAAUGGCGUAAUGAUUUGGAAGCUGUCUCAAGGAGGGACUCGGUGAAAUAGAACUGUCUGUGAAGAUGCGGACUACCUGCGCCAGGACAGUAAGACCCUAUGAAGCUUUACUGUAUCCUGAUAUUGAAUUUCGAUUUUAUUUGCGCAGAAUAGGUGGGAGACUUUGAGAAUAUUCUUGUGGGAAUAGGGGAGUCAUCAGUGAGAUACCACUCUGAUAAAAUUGGCAUUCUAACUUCAUACCGUUAGCCGGUUGAAAGACAGUUUCAGGUGGGCAGUUUGACUGGGGCGGUCGCCUCCUAAAAGGUAACGGAGGCGUACAAAGGUUUCCUCAGAUCGGUCAGAAAUCGAUCUUAGAGUGCAAAGGCAAAAGGAAGCUUAACUGUGAGACAAACAAGUCGAGCAGAGACGAAAGUCGGUCUUAGUGAUCUGACGCUGCUGUGUGGAAAGGGCGUCACUCAACGGAUAAAAGUUACUCUAAGGAUAACAGGCUGAUCUCCCCCAAGAGUUCCUAUCGACGGGGAGGUUUGGCACCUCGAUGUCGGCUCAUCGCAUCCUGGGGCGGUAGUACGUCCCAAGGGUUGGGCUGUUCGCCCAUUAAAGCGGUACGUGAGCUGGGUUCAGAACGUCGCGAGACAGUUCGGUCCAUAUCCGGCGUGGGCGUUAGAGUAUUGAGAGUGACCUUUCUCUAGUACGAGAGGACCGAGAAAGACAUACCGCUAGUGUACCAGUUAUCGUGCCAUCGGUAUAUGCUGGGUAGCUAUGUAUGGUUUGGAUAACCGCUGAAGGCAUCUAAGUGGGAAGCCGUCCUCAAGAUGAGUACUCUUAGGUUGCGGCAAGACUAGCCGUUUGAUAGGCAUCCGGUGUAAGUGUAGCAAUAUAUUUAGCCAAGAU